GAUGAUGGAGCCUCCAAAUCGACAAUCGUCACCGUUGAACAUAAUCUAUACUGCUUGAAAUAUUUAGAAAAUGUAUGAAAUUUAAUUUCUAAAUACUUCAAAUGGUAUAGAUCAUGUUCAACGGUGCCAAUCAUCAAUUUGGAGGCUCCAUCAUCGAAAACAAAUGGGUGGCAAAAGUGUCGGUUUGCUAUCGAUAUUAUUCUGGCUCAACUCUAUAUAUAUAUAUAAAGUUCGGCUACGGUGCUUGUAAAAAUACCAACCACUCGGUACUUGUAAAUUUUCUACUAUUAGAUCUACGUAUUUGAUUAUUUUCACCCGUUAGAUUAUACUAUUCAACCAACCACCCACUCAAUCCUAGGGGGCUCACAUCAUCCUAACCGCACAUCCCUUAAUCCAAGGGUCGAAAACUUACAAGCAUCAAUGACUUGAUACUUUAAAAGCAUAGGAGCUCAAUUAUAUAUAUAUAUUAUUCAAAAAUAAUAAUACUGUUAGUCUUCGCUGAGUUAUCUCAAAUUAAAUUCUAAUUAAAUUUAUAUCAGAAUUCAGAAAAAUUAAAGUAAUUUAUUUGUUACUAAUUUAAUGACAAAUAAAAAAAAUUAAUAAUAAUAAAAUAAUAUAUUUGAAAGAAUAAAAUAACAACUUUACAGAGAUAAUUAUUGUUAACUAUUUAUUAAUAGAAUUUUAACUCUAUGUGUAUAUUUAAAAAAAUUUGACAUGUUAAAAAAGUAUUUUUUUAUUCUAUUAAAUCUGAGAAAUAUAAGAAC
rnacentral:lncRNA from 1 species